UAAGUCAUUAUUAUAUUGCUCUUCUGUAUCAUUCCUGCUUGAUGGUGUAUAUAAACUAGCUAUCUCCUCAUUCAUCCUAUGUUUGACAAUUUUUUUACCUUUGUUAGCAUUAAGAAUUGCCGCCAUCUGUUUUUUUACAUUACUAGGGACACUAGUGCAUGCAGAAACUUCUCCCUUAACCCCUGCCAAGUGUUGCUUGAACCUAUGUACCCCACUACUUAUCACUUUUUGACAGUAAUUACAAAUAAUUUUGUCUUUCUUGUUGGGAUCAAGUCUGACCCCAUGUUGCCAUGCAGGGUCUUCUGUAGAUCUUGACAUGAUUCAACUGUUUUAAGAUGUAAAAAGU
rnacentral:lncRNA from 1 species